AAAGAAAUAAGCUCACUCUGUUGGUUGUCAUCUGAUGGGUCAAUUUUGGCUGUUGGUUAUAUUGAUGGAGAUAUCUUGCUGUGGAAUAUUUCAGUUCCUGGCAAGAAAAGUCCAGAGGCUGAAGCUUCGUCUAAUUAUGUUAAGCUGCAGCUCUCAGCAGGAGCCAAAAGACUCCCUGUUAUUAUACUGCGUUGGUCCGCCAAAAAUACACAGAAUGGUUGUGGGGGGAAACUAUUUGUCUACGGUGGUGAUUCAAUUGGAUCAGAAGAAGCCUUGACGGUUCUGAAUCUUGAUUGGUCCUCCGGAAUAAAAGCACUGAAAUGUGUUGGUCGAGUAGACCUUGGACUUGAUGGAUCUUUUGCAGAUGCCAUUGUUGUUUCAAAUGCUAAUGAAACGGGAAUUAGUGAUGCUUCUCCCUUUUUUGUGUUGUCAAAUCCAGG
rnacentral:misc_RNA from 1 species